CACACCUCUCCUCUCUCCCUCAACCUCGUACUUCAAAGUAUUGGUAUGGAGAUUGAGGAGGAUCAAUUCUUCAGAUCAAGUCCAAGGAGAGGAGAUCCAAGAGGAACACAUGGAUACCACUAGAGGCGGGGCAUCUACAUGGCUAGUGGAUUCAAUUUUGCACAAGGUGAUGUGAUCAUCGUUAAGUAUUUUAAUGCUUUUAUUUUUCUUCUUUGAGUCGAAUUUCUGCUUCGUGACCAAAUGGUGCAAUAGAUAUUAGAUCCUAACACCCCUUAUAUGUGAAACAUAGAGGCAGAAUUGAGAACUGCGACAGCUACAGUGUGGGGGCAAGUGCAACAUCAAGGAUGGUGGUGG
rnacentral:lncRNA from 1 species